UACAGAGGUCUCAAGCGUUGUUCGGAUUCAUUGGGCGUAAAGGGUGCGUAGGCGGCGCGGUAAGUCGGGUGUGAAAUCUCGGGGCUUAACUCCGAAACUGCAUUCGAUACUGCUGUUCUUGAGGAUUGCAGAGGAGACUGGAAUUCCCGGUGUAGCGGUGAAAUGUGUAGAGAUCGGGAGGAACACCGGUGGCGAAGGCGGGUCUCUGGGCAAUUCCUGACGCUGAGGCGCGAAAGCGUGGGGAGCAAACGGG
rnacentral:rRNA from 1 species